rnacentral:pre_miRNA from 7 species
UUUUGGGGUUCCUGGGUGUCACGCAGAACUCGGUGGGACCUACAAAUGAAAGAACCUAGUGGGGAACCCCCCCACUCAAUUCCUGAGUUGGCAUGCACCCAAAAAAUCACGAAAAAGA